UCCUAGCCCUGAUGGAAGCGGCAUCCUUUUGUGGCGGGGUUCGCCACAAAAGAUAUAGCGGACAGCAGGAUUAAGC
rnacentral:sRNA from 1 species